UUGCUGUUUAAAGAUUCUAAUUUUUAAAGGAAACUAUCAGGAUCAAGAAAUGAGAGGCUUUUAGUGGAGAAUUCUUCUUAAUUCUACUUAAGACUUAACCUCAAAAUAGCAACCCUAUGAUCCUAUUGAUUGUUUUGGAGGUGAUCCAUUUGGCAUUCAUUCAUUCUUUUUUUUCUUUUGGUAAAGUUAUUUAAAAGCCUAUUGUUAAUGUACUAGAAUUCGUGAGAGGAGUUACUUUUCAGUUUGAUUGUCUUUUAUAAACUCUUCAGUGCAAGCUACUUAUCAGCUCAGACUUCCAGCUGGCAACUUGCUGAGAGGAGGAUGAAAAGGGGGUAGUACCAAGUCAGUGAAUUUGUGGGUGAGGAACAGAGAUGUCUGCGGCACAUGGUGAUAGCUCCACAGGCUAGUCUGGGAGGUCACUAGAGUCAGGCUUGUGGCCCAUCGGGGCCACUGGGCAUCUCUGGAAAGUCACUAUGAGUUGAGGAAAUGGGAAUAUUGAAGAAAAAAUGAGGAAGAAUGAAGGCAGAAGUUUUUUUAUUUUGUGAUUUUUCCAAGGGCCUGGCUUGGACUUUGUCUGCCUGUGUAGGAAAAUGUGCAAGAGGUACAAUGACAUUCUGAGAGAACAGGUGGUCACAACCCCCCACUGCUUCUCUCGAGCCAGAAGGAGGCUAACAUCCAGCCCCUGGUGAGGCCCACUCAAUUCACUAGGCAGAGCACGAUGAUCUGAGGAUCCGUGCCAACCCUCCUGCCUGGCCAAGCUGUGAGACCAACUGUUCCUUAUUUUCUAAGCAUUGAGCUGCUUCUGGACUUUGCUUCUUUGUUUAGGAAAUGGAUCCAAAUCCCUCUCCUCUGGACUUGCUUGAUCCCCGAGCCUGAAGUCAAGCCAGUACUGGCUACCAUCUAUUCUUUCAGCCACACAUUGAACAACCAUAAUAAACACACCACACGUUUAUGGGUUCACACCUUGUUUUCAAGGGGCUUCUACAUACUCCCCCUGAUUUGAUACUAGAAAAAAAGCUCUACAUUGGAUUGGGCAAGUGUCAUCACGUAUUUGACAGGUAUUAGGCCUGAAGAAACUGAUAUAAAGCUAGUGUCAAAUCCAGGAGCCCAGCUUCAGCCUCUUCAUCUAUGGUCCUUCUGUGAUGAAUUCAAAGGUGCAUUAACGCUUGGGGAGAAAAGUGCACGUUUCCAUCUCCUAUUGGGCAAAGCCUAAACUCCUGUAUGACUUUUAUCUUCAGUCUUCAUUCUCAAGUAGCCAAAUGAAGGAAAGGGUGCCUCAAUAAGGUGGGGCCCAAGACCCCCAGCUUGUUAGGACAAAUACAGGAACUUGUAGUGGGAGCAGAUGGUCAUAUUUGUGAUUUAAUAGGAGGAACACAAGAAAUAGGAAUAAGAAAACCUGAAGGUUAAUCCUGACUUGUUAAUUAGCUCUUCAAUAUUUAUUAACCUCACUUAACCUCUCUGAGCUUUGCUCUCCUCUUCCUUUAAGCAGGAAAAAUGCUACUGUGCCAUGUGUGCCCCAUCAAAACAAUUAAAUGAAAAAAUUUAAUUGUUAAAUUAAAAACAAUUUAACAAUUGUUAAAACAAUUGUUAAAACAAUUAACUGAAACUAUAAAAUAAAACUGCCUUUAAAAUGAUAAAGCACAAUUCUAAUAGAAAGAUUUUUUUCAGCAUUUUUAAUUAUUUGCACAUAAAGGGGCUAAAUAAAUACAUGAUAAAAGAUGAAUUAUUUUUUUGAAUACUCUACAUCUUCAUGACUUCUUACAAUCUUUUACCCCCUCCAAUCCUUUCUUCUUUCCAGUUUCUCACUGAUUGAUGGUAGAUUGUCUUCUUUACCGUUAACUGAGUGCCAGAUGGACAGGCACAAUCUUCACCCUAGAGAUACAGCUGCUGAGGAUCACGGGGAUGAAAAGCGUGAAUCGGGCUCACACAGCUAGUAAGUGAAAGAAUCGCUGAAAUCUAAGGUGCUGGAUUUAUCAGUGCAGUGUCUUUCCAGUUGAUAUUUCUGAAAGAAGGCUGUGGAGAAAGAACGCUGAAGAGCCCCCAGGAUUGUCUGUACUUGUGGCUUUCCAUAGAUGGAAGAGUGAAUUUCAAAAGGUCUGUCUCUGGUGUCCUACCUUCCCAGUUAUGAAGAUAUGUCUUUGAAAACUUCCUCAUCUUAGCAGUGCCCUCUAGUGCUAUAUCCCGUCAAAGCUAACUAUUCCAGGUCUUAUUAUUUUUCUGAUUUAAACUUUAGGGAUUCAGGAUUUAGUGCUCACCUUUUUUGUUGUUCGCACACUUUUUAUGUGCAGUUUCAUUAAAAGGUGAAUUCAGUUGAUGACUUACCUAGCAAGCUUAUUGAGGAAAAUCCUAGACUGUUGAUCCCGACUAUGUCGAGUAAUAUGGAAACAAUGAGGGUUUCUUAGGUUUGAUCAACAUGGGACAGGCUGGAAGAAAGCUCAGUGGUCAUAUUUCUAGUUUCCAAGAAUUUGAGUUUUUGAGUGUGCACGUUAGCCCAGGGAACAUCCUAAAUUGUUUUUUGGGGAGCUUGGACCUCUAAUAUCAAUUGCACUUGCAAAAUGUUUCUAAAAGUACAGGUGCCAAACAGAUAUUCAUUCAGAAGUGGCCAGGUAUUGUUAAGGGGUCAAGGGCAGUCCUUUUCUCAUUUUCAGGGUGACUUAGUCAAGGUUUUCUAUUACUUAUUAGGUAACUUUGAUUUCUUUUUUUGCAACAUAAUUCCUAGCUCAUGGCAGUACAUAAAUUGCACCAAGAAGAAUCUUCAGACAGAAUAAGUGGUUGCUUUGGAAAUGGGGUAAAUUUAGGCUUAAAAGGAGAUUCCAAGUCAUAAUCAAAUACUUUGCCUUAGUCAUGGAAAAGUGUAAUUUUACUGUAAUUCCAUGUUGAUGGAGUAUAAUAUAAAUGACAAUAUGAUUUUAUAUUUGUACUCCCUCUUAAGCAUCCUGUUUUAUUAAUUUAUAUGAAAGCUAUUCUUGAGUUCCCAUUAUGUCCCUGACAUUGUUGAUAAGGAUUUUAUAGAUCCAAUGAGGGCUACUUAGCUAAAUAGGGAGGUACAAAAGCUUGAACUCAUAGAUUCAAUGAUCUUUCUGAUCAAUCAUGUGCCAGGUCUUCUAACUUCUGCUAUAGGCUUUGUUCAUCCAGAGUUAUACUACUCAUAGCAUAAAACAGUCAAAUAGAUGCAAAAGGACCAACUUGGGUUUGAAUAUUUUGGAGUAAGCAUGUGGAUAAUUGCUGAUUUCUUCACUUUUUAAGCACUUGUGUCCAUGCUAAGUAUUGUAAAAUCAUAUUUCAGGCUACUUUGUCUUUUUCCUGAACUGGCGGCUCAGCAUUGGGAAAGUGUUGACCAGAGCUAUUCCAGACCCUCCUUAGCUCAGAUGUAGUUUACUGAUUGACUCCUUUAUUUGGGUGUACCCAGUCCCAUGCUAGGCUCUGGAGAUGGGUCAGAGGGCUGGUGUGAGAAAGCAGUGCACAAACCUCAGUUUUCUUAUCUCUAAAACUCUAAAAUCUCAUUUCUAAAUAAUAAAGUUUAUUUCACAGAGUUCUUCUGUGGAUCAAUCAAUAUAAGGCUAGCAGAUGCACCUAAUAAAUGUUAACACGAGAGAAAUAAAAGGCAGUAUUAUGGGUAAUUUUGGGUAUAUUACAGGAUAAUAUAAAAGACAGUGCAUGUAGCAUCCUAUAAUACAUGCACACUGAUCUCUAAGCUUCUGUUGUGCAGGAACUGGGUGUUAUUCAUUGCUGUAUUCUUGGCCUCUUGAACAGGAUCUGACACAUGAAAUUUAAAAAUUUAAAAAAAAUUUAGUUAAGUGAUAAAACUGCGAAGUACAUAGAUUUUAAAGGAAAAAUACAGAAUAUAAGUUUUAUGAAACUGCACAGAAAUGAGGAGAUUCAGUUACAUGGAGAGAUGAUGCAAUACCUUUUGUGUAGUAUUAAUUUAAGAAAGAACUUUCUGAAACUAGAACUGAUAACCAUAGAAUGAAUUACUACAAGAUUGUCACAAAUAGAAGUAAGUUUUCUACUCUAAGGUAUUCAAAAGAGAACUGGUGAAUCUUCCUAUCAGAAAUGUUCUCUACUACAUGUAAUAAACCUAUGUGUGUUCUGCUAGAUCUCAGAAAAAUAAAAAUAAACAUGUGGGAACUUGAAAUAGUUUGUGGAAAAAUGAAAUUAAAAGAUAAACUUUAUUUCUCAAAAUAAGUUCCAUCAAGGUCAAGAUGCGUUUGUAAGCAAUAAUACUAGUCAUUUAGUUCAUCCCUAAAGAACUGAGAGUCCUAGGAAUUUAACCAGGCCAAUGCAGUCUUUUUCACAUUAUUAACUGAAGAUAAAUGGGUGCCUACUAUAGAUUUUUUUAAGUUAGGAAACAAACAGAAGUCAGAAGGAGCCAAAUCAGGACAGUAAGGUGGAUACCUAACAAUUUCCCAUCAAAACUCUCCUCAAAUUGCCCUUGUUUGAUGAGAAGAAUGAGCAGGAGCAUUGUCCUGGUGGAGAAGGACUCUCUGGGAAAUCUUUCCUGGGUUUUUUUCUAUUAAAGUUGUGGCUAACUUUUUCAAAACACUCUCAUAAUAAGUGGAUGUUAUUGUUUGGCUCUCCAGAAAGUCAACAAGCAAAAUGCCUUGAAUAUUCAAAAAAAAAAAAUUGUUGCUAUGAUCUUUGCCCUUGAUCAAUCCACUUUUAUUUUGACUAGACCUCUUCUAUCUUUUAGCAGCCAUUGCUUUGAUUGUCCUUUGUCUUCAGGAUUGUAUUGGUAAUGACAUGUUUCAUCUUCUGUUAUAACUCUUCAAAGAAAUGCUUUAAGAUCUUGAUCCCAAUUAUUUAAAAUUUCCGUAGAAAGUUCUGCUGUUGUCUGCAGCUGAUCUGGGUGCAAUGAUUUUGGCACUCAUUGACUGGAAGAUUUCUCACCUUUAAUUUUUCAAUUACAAUGGUAUAAGCAGCAUCAAUUGAGGAGUCUAUGGUGUUGGCUAUUGUUUCUGCUAUUGAAUGUCAGUCAGUUGGGGCAGGGACAAGAUUGAUCUUUUCCUUGAAAAUUGAUGUGGGUGGUCUGCUGCUGCAGGUUUCAUUUUCAACAUUGUCUUCAGCAUAGCUUGUAAGUGGCAGAGCCAGGAUUUGAAGAUAUGCCAUGAAAGCCGGCAUUUGUGUACUCUUAACCAUUAUACUAUGUGGUAGAGAAGCAAACUCUGAUGCUAAUCUGUCCCUUUCCUGAGACAUAUGUGACUGAUGUGAGCAAACCAGAGAGUGUGUGUGCCAUCCAAAGAAGGCACCAGACCCUCAAUUCCAGGCACUUCUUGCCAUGUUGGAAUGCAUGUCUACUGUUGCCAGAUCUUCUGAAUUUUAUAUAGCAUCACUCAGUUUUAAAUAUGUCAAUUAAGUAGAUAUGUUCUUUAACAUAUGUAUGUAUAUGUGUAUGCACACAAAUAUACAUGUAUAUGUAUAUCAAAGCAAAGCUCACACCGAACAAACAUGUAGGCUGUGUUUGGUUUACAUACUCUGCAUUUGGGAAUUCUAACUUUCUGAAACCCAGGAACAAUCUACAUUUUCUAACACACACACACACACACACACACACACAGAUUAGAUGACUUGUUCAAGGUGAUAACAAUUGGUUAACUCUGGGCAUAAGAAAGGCAUAGCUUUUAAUCUUACUACCAUAUCUAUUCUAUACAGUGUUUAUGUAAAGACCAGGUGAAAAAAGCAGCAGCUAAAGAGGGAGUUGCCAGCCCUUCACAUAGAAUGCAUCUCAACAAACCUGUGGUAGAUUAAACUGGUAACAGAUUCUUUGCUAUUCUUGUCAUUGAGAGCGGAGUCUAAUUCUGCUUUCUUGGUGAUUUGCUUGACCAACAGAAUGUAGCAAAAUAAAAUUCUAGCAUUUCUGAGAUUAGUCGUAUGAAGUCUUAUAGCAUCUUGCCCGACCAAGUGUCAGCUCUUCACCUGACAGCCACAGCUGAGCUCCUAGCCGUCAGAAAGACUCAACAGUCAGGCAUCCCAGCCCAGGCUUCAGGGAAGUAAUUGAAGAUACCAUAUUAGAUGUGCAUCCUCCUGCUUCAGCUGUCCCAGCCCCUUCAACCACCCAGUUGAACCUUUUCUAAAUUCCUGACCCAAACAAGUGUGAGUCAAAUCAAAAUUAAAUUUUAAACCACUACAAUUUGGGGUAGUUUGUUAUAUAGUAAUAGAUAACUAGACCAAUUCCUUUGAGCAAUUUACCCAGGAAAAUGCUCCAAAGUCAUCCCCUUUACCUUCAUGUUCUCCCUAAGGAAUUUCAUUUACUGCUGGGACCUCACAUAAGUGUGGGUGUGCAGAGAAGUCAUUUUUAUAAAAGAUGACUUGGGAGGUUCCAUUUUCAUAUUGAAUGCAUUUGUCAUUUGGACACAGCUAGCAGGUAGAAACCUUCAGACAAAGGAGGUGAGUGACAUAUGAGUGUGUCUUUGCCCAUAGGAUUUAUCACUCCCUCACUGUGGACCUUUGGAAGAUAAGUAGAGUUGGAAGGAUGAAAGGAGUCUCUGUAAUGACUCUGGGCCCUCUUAGGAUUCCACCUGGGUUCACGGUGUUGAUUGGAAGUGAUGCUUGUGGAAAAAGAGAGCAAAGUGUGGGCCCUAGGUUGCUGUGUCUGAUGGCUAAGACUUGUGUACGCUCCAGGUAGUGACAUUUCUGGCCUUAGAGACAGCUCUUCGUCUUCAUCUCAUUGCAUAUGGGUGACAGAGGCUGAGGAUAUUAAAAUGAACAAAUACGCUCUAUUCCUCAAAAAGCUACAGACUAUAUACAGACUAUAUACUUUUAUAAAUACAAAUGUAUAAAAUUAAUUUAUUACUUGGGCUGAGCUUUAUAGAGUAUAAACAGGAAAUGGAUUUAUUUAUUUUUCUCUCAUUGUUUCCUUCAAUGUGCUUUAUCUCUUUUCAUUACCUUUCCUUGCAGUUUGAUGACAUCUUGAGCAGAUUCCAUAAGUGUUCCAUCCUUUUGACCACUUUUUUACAAUAUAGAGUCCCUUCUGGGUUUAAAAAGCCAAAUUCUGACUUUUUUAAAGCUUCAGGCUCAUGUUUAAUUUGAAGCUUCUUUCCUUCCUUCAGAUUGCACCUUGAAGACUAGAGUGGGGUCCAGUAUGGUCUCUCCUCGAUCUUCCUUCACUUUCUCCCACUCCUGCUUCAUAUUCCUUUAAGUUCUGCCCUGUGGGGGAUGGGAAGGGGUGUGAGGAAACAGACAUUAGAAGAAUAAAGGAAACAAUGACUCACAUGGCUAAUGGCUUGUAAUACAGGCGUCUGUGCUCCUGGCUCCAGCAGGUGUUCAGAUACUAUGGUAAGCUGUUCAUAGGGUUUUCCUGCACAACACCUUACCCUCAACAUGGGAAUUUCUGCAGUGUAGUUUCCUGACACAGGUGGCACAUUUUCUCGCUGACCCUUUGGAACCUCCUUCUAGCCCCUGCCCCUCUGAGAUCAAUCCUAGGCACAGAGCCCUCUUGGGUAGGAUCCCAUUAAGUUGUCUUAAACUCAGCCAUUCUCUACCCAUUAAGCCAUGCACUGGGUCCAGAGGAAAUUCACAUCUAUUCUUCAAGCCCAACACUGCUCUCCGGCUACUGCUGCUGCUCCCUGCCAUCCUGGACUGCUCUGGCAGUCCUAUGCUGCCAGAGUCUUGCCAGUGGGAAGCAGGCUCCAAUCUCUCUGUCCACAUAUACCCCCAAACUCAAGCUCUCCCAUAAUCACUCACUGCUUGCUUCACUGGAAUCCUGAGCUGCCAUGAGGCCUGUGAUUCACGGCACAGUAAACAUUCUUCUGGGAACUGGGCCUUCAGCCUCCCUUUCUUGCAGCCACCCCCAGGAUCUGCAAAAAGACGCUCUUCAAGCUUCUUCGCCAGCUUUUUGGUUGAGAAAAGCCAAGUACUUUCAAUUCCUUCCUGAGCCUCCUCUCACAUUUCUAGUGUCUUUCACACAGCCUGGAGGGUGUAGUGGUCUUCAGCUUCUCUUUCUUUAGAAUGUGUGAAGACUCUGUUGCCCUCAGUUUUGGCCCAGAUUCUAGGACAAUUUCAUUAAAUACAAAUGAUUUUGAACCAUGUUGGUAAUUGUUGAGAUGGAGCCAUGCCACUGAACAGAUUCAGAGGGAGAAAGCUCAGGAAUACCUCAGGCACCCAGGCAUGGCGGGGACCGGGCUCUAGGAGAACAAAUGGAGGUUCAUCAGGAAGGGGAGUGACGGGGAACACUGGGCAGAGACAUGAGAACAUGCUUGAUGACAAAAAAGGGCUUGGUAACCUCAAAGCACAGCACAGUGGCUGGUCAUCUGCAGGAACAGGGGAGUCAGGACUGCAGAGGCAGCUUGGAGGCAGAACAAGGAAGUGGGGACGCUGAAGAGCUUCUCGGAGGGGAAAGGGGUGAAGUCAUUUUCUAGUCAGAAGGGGCAAAGGGACACAAUCAGGACCAACAAUUAGAAGGCACUGGAUCCUCCAGGUAAUCUCAUUUAUCUUCAAAAUGUUACCCUCUUACAUAUUCCUUAGGUUACUCAGUUGUCUUGUGUCCCCAAAUCUCUUUGCCUUCCAUAUUCCCUUCUAGAAGAUUAACAGCCACUGGUAAAUGGAUGACAAAGGAUUUAUUUGGUAGUAGUGGAACAGGGUCAUAUGGCCACAGUCUAUUUUUAGCCACCUCAGUAAGACUGAAUGAAGUAAGAUGUAUGAAAAUGUUCUAUAACAUUCUAACCUUAGAAAACAUAGGGAACACUUAUUGUUAAGCAGUUAAUGUUUGUGAAAGUCAUUUGGCAAUUAAUUAUGAAUUACCUGUGACAUUUCUUCUCUAGUUUUCUGGAAUUGUUAUUUAAGUCUAUAAAUCCACUUGCCUCAUCCCUCAGGGCUCUGUUUAUCUGUUUCCAAGGUGACAGCUAGCUAGCAGGUGGAUUAACCCAUGCUAAUCCGUUAGUUGCUACCAAAGGAGGCAACACUGAGUGACAGCAUGCAUUUUAAGCCUUGUAAUGUUCAGAUUUCUUUUUAAAUAAAAAAAAAUUAUCUCAGAUCCAAAGUAUUGACCUAGAUAAUUAUUGAUUAUAAUAUUAAUUAUAUAGGUAUGUAGACCAUUUGGGUGUGUCAGAUUUGUACCAUUACUUUGUAUACUUACCUUAAGAUUGAAUAAGAUUGAGCCUUCAUCUUUUCAUCAGGCUCACAGGAAUAUUAACCUAAUUAUUUUAGGGUUCCCUGAAUCUCAACUGACACAUCCACUAAAGGUUGUCCAAAGGUCUUGGGAGGGGUGUCUGGGGCAGUGCCAAAGCAUGUAGGCCAUUGGCCCUUUAAUUAUCAGCGAGACAGCCUUAUCCUCGUUGCAGAGCAACUUAAAGUCUACUGUUCUGAUCCCUUUAGGACAUGCUUGAGGCCCAGGAAUUGCAUUCUAAAAAUCUCUAGGAUCCAGUUUCCUAAGGUGAAUUAAGCAGCACUUUAUCCAUCUCCCAAGCUUGUCCAGAGAGGGAGUAGGAGGACAUGGAGGCACCCUCAGAUAUUCUUCUCCUUUGAAACCUGGGUAAAUCUGCCAUCCCUUUCUCUACUUAUUCUCUUACUAGCAAUAAUCAUUGCCUUUUUUUCUCUCUUUUUGGUGUACUUAGCAUGUCUCCUCCAUCAGCAAAGCAUUCACAAAAAGCCCUGUGUGAUAUGUUCCUCCAGUAGUUUUGGUUGUGAACCUGCAAAUUCUCCUGAUGUGACAGAACAUAGAUAACUGACUACCUACCUACUGGAAUGAAAGAGGGGAAUGAUACAGAUCCCAAACGCAACCUAACAUCUCAAUCAUUUCUUCUUUGCCCAUAUAUAGACAUAAAAGUGGAUAUAACUUUUUGAAUGACUCUAAAUCUUAACAGAACAAUAAACAUAAUCAUUAUUUUUUAAAUACAAAUAUACAACCCAAUAACAUUUAUAUUAACAAUAUUACUCACAUGUAAUGAUGAUAUUUGUGAAGGAAAAUCAUUGUUCCUUACAUCAAUGUAGCUCUGAUUAUUAUUGCAUGGGCCUUUUAAGGUAAGCAUGGGUGUACUAUUAUAUAAGUAUUGUGUGACGAUGACUUGACUUUCCCAGUUUUUCUGCCUCAGCUACUUAGACCUUUUUUUAUUUUUAUAUGAUCACCUAUGAUGCAGUUUAGACUUUACAUUGUGCCAAAGUCAUUAUUUUUGCAAAAAACAUACUGUACUCUAUUUAAAUUAUUCUGGGACAAUUAAGGUAGUAAUAAUUGGUAUAGGCUCUAUCACCAACACAAACAUAGUCGUGGAUAUGGAAAUUGUGGGCUGUUGUUUGAAUUAAGAUAAGACCAUAUACACUUAUCAUUUCUGUAGUACCAUUGAAAUGCAAAUGGAAAACUAAGAAUUUUUGGGGCUGAAUGUUUGGAACCUCAGGCGCGUAUUUUUGGAACUCCAGGGCCCAUGGAAACCAGUUUGGAAACACUGUUGCAGUUGCUUGAGUAUGAGCUCUGGAGUCAGAUGGAGCUGAAUUUGAACUCCACCUCAGUUUCCACAUUUGUAGCAUAAAUAUGGUAAUAUUACCUUCAGUAUUAGUUUCCUAGUGCUUCUAUAAGAAAUUACUACAAACUAGGUGGCUUAGAACAAGAAACAAUUAUUACCUCACAGUUCCAGAGGCUAAAAGUCUAAAAAUUAGGAGUUGGUAGGGCCAUGCUCUCUCUGAAGUCACUGGGAAAGGAUCUGCUUAGGUGUCUCCUAGCUUCUGGUAGCCUCAGGCAUUCCUUGGCUUGCAGAUGCAUCACUCUGAUCCUCUGUCUUCACCUGGUGGUCUUCCUGUGUCUUCACAUUAUCAUUUCUCUGUGUGUGUCUGUCUCUGUGUCAAAUUUCCCCUUUUAAUAAGGACACCAGUUAUAUUGGAUUAGAGCCCUCACUAAUGACUUCAUUUUAACUUGAUUACCUUUAUAAAGACUCUUAUUUCCUAAUAAGGCCAGAUUCUGGGAUACUAGGGGUUAGGACUUCAAAACAUCUUUGUUGGGAGGAGGCACACUUCAAUCCAUAACACCUUUCUUUGGUGUUCUGAGCAAUAGAGAUAAUGGAUCAAAAUUGCCAGGCUCAUUUUAAAUGCUCAAUAAGGAGUCAUCAGUAUGUUCAUAACAGGAUGGUUCAUUGCCCCUUUCAGAUACGUAUGUCAUGGUCACAAUUACAUUUAGCAUUCCAACUGUAGUUCAGAAUUUCUGGCAUUGCAAUGUGUCAAUGAGAGAAAGGCUCUUUGCUAGAGACCAAGUUUCACUAAAAUGUUUACGUAUGCUCAAGGCUAAGGCUGUCAGAUUUCUUUGUUUACUGUGUUAGUUUUCAAAAAUCAUUUUGGACCAGACUCUGAGUCUUUUGAUCACAUUUACUGCUUUAUCUUCUUUGUCUAACAGUUGCUUAGUGCAUACUCAGCCCCUUAGUCCUUCCAAGUUUAGGUUGAGUUUCUUUUGCUUGAAAGAAGCAGGCUGCUAUGUUUUUUCUUUGUCUUUACUUUUUUUUCAGUUGAAUUUUAGGGCUGAGCCUGACUCUCCAACAAUGAAGAAAAUUAAUGCCAAGCUAGAGGCAGUGAUAAUGAGGAACAUCUCAGAAAGAGGACUUUGAAGGGAAGGGGAUGUGUGUGAUAUGCUGUCAUGGGCAUGGC